AUUGAACGCUGGCGGCAGGCCUAACACAUGCAAGUCGAACGAGUGGCGGACGGGUGAGUAAUGUCUGGUAAACUGCCUGAUGGAGGGGGAUAACUACUGGAAACGGUAGCUAAUACCGCAUACCAUCAGAUGUGCCCAGAUGGGAUUAGCUAGUUGGUGGGGUAACGGCUCACCAAGGGGACGAUCCCUAGCUGGUCUGAGAGGAUGACCAGCAACACUGAAACUGAGACACGGUCCAGACUCCUACGGGAGGCAGGAGUGGGGAAUAUUGCACAAUGGGAGCAAGACUGAUGCAGCCAUGCCGCGUGUAUGAAUAAGGCCUUCGGGUUGUAAAGUACUUUCAGCGGAGAGGCGUUACCCGAAGAAGAAGCACCGGCUAAAUACGUGCCAGCAGCCGCGGUAAUAC
rnacentral:rRNA from 1 species